ACCCAGGCUCUAGAAAUAUUUCUCAAAGCUAUGGUCUUUAGUGACUGUCUCAAUGGCAACUUCUGAACCCAGGUAGAGCCUAAUACAACCUCUAUCUACUGUGCAAUUGGUCUUGGAGUUGAAUAUUCACAUGCCAGUAAGGGUGAAGCUCUUUUGCUAAGCCAGCCUUUGAGGUUAGCUUGAUUGUUAGGAGUGGAAGGGUAGAGGAGGAAAAUAGAAGGGAGAGGAACUAGACAAAAGGAAUGGUGCUUUGGUCCUUGACAUCUUUCAUAUCUACCAUUUCCUGUGCUGAGAAGGCCUGCGGUAUUUUGGUUAUAUAGUCCCAUUGCUUUCCCACAGACCUGUACUGGAGGGUAGGUAGGAAACUUGGUGGUUCUUCCACAGGUUGCUCAACUUGCUUUCUUAUAGAACCCAGGACUACCAACCCAGGUUGGCACCACCUGCAAUGGGCCCUUUUACCUUGAUCACUAGUUGAGAAAAUGCCUUACAGCUGAAUUUCAUGGAGGCAUUUCUUCAAGGGAAGCUCCUUUGUGAUAACUCCAGCUUGUGUCAACUUGAUACACAAAACCAGUCAGUACAGCUGUGAAAUAUUGUGAAAGGGGAGCGAAGGCAGAAGAAUCGUCAUUUAGAGUCAUGUUAAUCAGACAUGCUGUUUCUGUGCUAACUCAGAUUUUUUAGUAAAGGUUUCCUCUGACUAAGCAUGUGGUCACAGGGGCUAAUAAACUCACUACCUCAGUUUUUCAUUAUUUCUGUUUACCACUGCGUUAUCUUGUUAAGCCACUUAACCAUUCGAAACUCUGUUUAAUAAUCUCUUUGAAAUAAUACUCACCUUUACAGAGUGAGCUUUAAACAAUAAUAAAAUGUGCUAAUGCAUGUGAAAAUAUUCAGGGAGCUGUCUGUUACUAAACAAGUUAGUUCUCUAUGUCACUUGGCAAAGUUCUGAAUGGGUUGUGUGUUCUUAGAGUCCCAAGGACUGAAUCUAGGACCACUUUGAAUGUGUCUAUUUAGUUCUUACACCCAGAGAAGCCAGCAGUUUAAUUUGUGUUUGUUUUUCCAGAGAAGGCAAGAUUAUCUUUUUCUGGAUAUAUAGGUCCUUGAGUUGUGCUUAUCUUGUUUCCUAUCUGGUUUCUUGUGACUUCAGUCACACCUCCUUAACUCUCAAUGUAAGAGCUGCUUUUCACUUACAGGUGACAUAGAGUUAAUUAGCUUGUGGAAUUAAGAAGUCCUGGUUUACAUUAAUGUAAACAUUACAGUACAUAUAUGAAGAGCUUUACUGAGAGGAUCUCGUGCACCACAGAUACACAGUGGUUUCAUGAGCAAGGCCCUACAUAGGAAAGUAAGAUGGUAUUUUGUUGGUUUGUCUUUUUAAACAUGAAAUGACCUUCACAGACUGAAUUGAGAAGUGUUGGGUGGUUCACUUAUUAAAAGAUUCAUGAAUGCUAUUAUAAGAACAUAGUAUUAAUCAUAACCAAUGCAUCAUAUAUUUGUAUGACAUUUGGAUGAAUUAUACAGAAAAAAUUUGUACCCAUUCUCUCUCUCUCUCUCUCUCUCUCUCUUCAUGUGUACUUUAAUGAGAAAUUCCUGUGAGUUAUAUAUUCCCUAAAGCUGAAUAGACUUCUAAUUUCUCCUUUGCAUCUCCAAGUUAAAAGUAUUACAAUAGCAAAUAACUUUCCCUUUAUUUUAUAAUGUCCCCUCUAUGAAGCCAAAUUCUUCUUCUUCUUCAUGAAUGUUUGUUUCCCAUUUUAUUGUAAGAAU
ensembl:lncRNA